UUGAACGCUGGCGGCAUGCCUAACACAUGCAAGUCGAACGGCAGCAUGACCUAGCUUGCUAGGUUGAUGGCGAGUGGCGCACGGGUGAGUAAUGCGUAGGAAUAUGCCUUGAAGUGGGGGAUAACCUGGGGAAACUCAGGCUAAUACCGCAUGAGCCCUAAGGGGGAAAGCAGGGGAUCUUCGGACCUUGCACUAUUGGCAGAGCCUGCGUUGGAUUAGCUAGUUGGUAGGGUAAAGGCCUACCAAGGCAACGAUCCAUAACUGGUCUGAGAGGAUGAUCAGUCACACCGGAACUGAGACACGGUCCGGACUCCUACGGGAGGCAGCAGUGGGGAAUAUUGGACAAUGGGGGCAACCCUGAUCCAGCCAUGCCGCGUGUAUGAAGAAGGCCUUCGGGUUGUAAAGCACUUUAAGUGGGGAGAAAGGUUCGGCAGUUAAUACCUGCCGGAAGUGAUGUUACCCACAGAAUAAGCACCGGCUAACUCUGUGCCAGCCGCCGCCGUAA
rnacentral:rRNA from 1 species